rnacentral:rRNA from 1 species
GACGAACGCUGGCGGCGUGCCUAAUACAUGCCAGUAGAACGCUGAAGAGAGGAGCUUGCUCUUCUUGGAUGAGUUGCGAACGGGUGAGUAACGCGUAGGUAACCUGCCUGGUAGCGGGGGAUAACUAUUGGAAACGAUAGCUAAUACCGCAUAAAAUUGAUUAUUGCAUGAUAAUUAAUUGAAAGAUGCAACUGCAUCACUACCAGAUGGACCUGCGUUGUAUUAGCUAGUUGGUGAGGUAACGGCUCACCAAGGCGACGAUACAUAGCCGACCUGAGAGGGGGGUCGGCCAAAAUGGGACUGAGAAACGGCCCAGACUCCUACGGGAGGCAGCAGUAGGGAAUCUUCGGCAAUGGGGGGAACCCUGACCGAGCAACGCCGCGUGAGUGAAGAAGGUUUUCGGAUCGUAAAGCUCUGUUGUAAGAGAAGAACGGGUGUGAGAGUGGAAAGUUCACACUGUGACGGUAUCUUACCAGAAAGGGACGGCUAACUACGUG